AGCUUUGUGCAGUGGCAGUAUCGUAGCCAAUGAGGUUUAUCUGAGGUGUGAUUAUUGCUAAUAGAAAUUCAUUUUUACCUGCCAAAUUAGCAGACACUAUAAGUAAAAAAAUACAUUUCAUUUCCUGUGCUGAUGGGGUAUAGAGAAUUAAUGGCAAUAAAAUACGUUUU
ensembl:snRNA U4 U4 spliceosomal RNA